CAAGCGGUGGAGUAGUGUGGUUUAAUUCGAUAGCAACGCGAAGAACCGUUACCUGGUCUUGACAUCCCGGAGACCCUUAGGAAACUAAGGGGGUGGCUUCCAUCUGGAAGAAGUACUGGAGGACAGGUGCUGCAUGGCUGUCGUCAGCUCGUGUCGUGAGAUGUUGGGUUAAGUCCCGCAACGAGCGCAACCCUUGCCUUUAGUUGCCAGCAGUUCGGCUGGGCACUCUAAAGGGACUGCCGGUGUUAAACCGGAGGAAGGUGGGGAUGACGUCAAGUCCUCAUGGCCUUUAUGACCAGGGCUACACACGUACUACAAUGGCCGAUACAAAGGGCAGCGACACUGCGAGGUGAAGCCAAUCCCGUAAAAUCGGUCUCAGUCCGGAUUGGAGUCUGCAACUCGACUCCAUGAAGUUGGAAUCGCUAGUAAUCGUGGAUCAGCAUGCCACGGUGAAUACGUUCCCGGGCCUU
rnacentral:rRNA from 1 species